rnacentral:rRNA from 1 species
CACGUAGGGUGCGAGCGUUUGUCCGGAAUUAUUGGGCGUAAAGAGCUCGUAGGCGGUGUGUCGCGUCGGCCGUGAAAACCUGCAGCUUAACUGUGGGCUUGCGGUCGAUACGGGCAUCACUGGAGUUCGGCAGGGGAGACUGGAAUUCCUGGUGUAGCGGUGAAAUGCGCAGACUAUCAGGGAGGAACACCGGUGGGCGAAGGCGGGUCUCUGGGCC